ACGAACGCUGGCGGCGUGCUUAACACAUGCAAGUCGAACGGAAAGGCCCUGCUUUUGUGGGGUGCUCGAGUGGCGAACGGGUGAGUAACACGUGAGUAACCUGCCCUUGACUUUGGGAUAACUUCAGGAAACUGGGGCUAAUACCGGAUAGGAGCUCCUGCUGCAUGGUGGGGGUUGGAAAGUUUCGGCGGUUGGGGAUGGACUCGCGGCUUAUCAGCUUGUUGGUGGGGUAGUGGCUUACCAAGGCUUUGACGGGUAGCCGGCCUGAGAGGGUGACCGGCCACAAUGGGACUGAGAUACGGCCUAGACUCCUACGGGAGGCAGCAGUGGGGAAUAUUGCACAAUGGGCGGAAGCCUGAUGCAGCAACGCCGCGUGCGGGAUGACGGCCUUCGGGUUGUAAACCGCUUUCGCCUGUGACGAAGCGUGAGUGACGGUAAUGGGUAAAGAAGCACCGGCUAACUACGUG
rnacentral:rRNA from 1 species